AUCCAGUUGACGAGUCCAAAACAGGACUAAAAGCGCGUGACUGGAU
rnacentral:hammerhead_ribozyme from 1 species